rnacentral:rRNA from 1 species
UCCUACGGGAGGCAGCAGUGGGGAAUAUUGCGCAAUGGGGGGAACCCUGACGCAGCAACGCCGCGUGAGUGAAGAAGGUUUUCGGAUCGUAAAGCUCUGUCAUUGGGGACGAAAAGAUGACGGUACCCAAGGAGGAAGCCCUGGCUAACUACGUGCCAGCAGCCGCGGUAAUACGUAGGGGGCGAGCGUUGUCCGGAAUUACUGGGCGUAAAGGGUGCGUAGGCGGCUUCAGAAGUCAGGUGUGAAAUACCGUGGCUCAACUACGGGGGUGCAUUUGAAACUUUGAAGCUUGAGUGCAGGAGAGGAAAGUGGAAUUCCUAGUGUAGCGGUGAAAUGCGUAGAGAUUAGGAGGAACACCAGUGGCGAAGGCGACUUUCUGGACUGUAACUGACGCUGAUGCACGAAAGCGUGGGUAGCGAACAGGAUUAGAUACCCUGGUAGUCCACGCCGUAAACGAUGGAUACUAGGUGUAGGAGGUAUCGACCCCUUCUGUGCCGUAGUUAACGCAAUAAGUAUCCCGCCUGGGGAGUACGUGCGCAAGCAUGAAACUCAAAGGAAUUGACGGGGACCCGCACAAGCAGCGGAGCAUGUGGUUUAAUUCGAAGCAACGCGAAGAACCUUACCAGGGCUUGACAUCCCGAUGACCGGUACAGAGAUGUACCUUCUCUUCGGAGCAUCGGUGACAGGUGGUGCAUGGUUGUCGUCAGCUCGUGUCGUGAGAUGUUGGGUUAAGUCCCGCAACGAGCGCAACCCCUGUUUUUAGUUGCCAUCAGGUAAAGCUGGGCACUCUAGAGAGACUGCCGGGGAUAACUCGGAGGAAGGUGGGGACGACGUCAAAUCAUCAUGCCCCUUAUGUCCUGGGCUACACACGUGCUACAAUGGCCGGAAACAGAGGGCAGCGAAGCCGCGAGGCGAAGCGAAUCCCAGAAAGCCGGUCCCAGUUCGGAUUGCGGGCUGCAACUCGCCCGCAUGAAGUCGGAGUUGCUAGUAAUCGCGAAUCAGCACGUCGCGGUGAAUGCGUUCCCGGGUCUUGUACACACCGCCCGUCACACCACGGAAGUUGGGGGCACCCGAAGCCGGUGACCUAACCUAUAUAGGGAGGAGCCGUCGAAGGUGAAUUCAAUGACUGGGGGUGAAGUCGUAACAAGGUAGCCA